CCGGGCUCCUCGCGGUGGCGCCGGGGGGAUGCCCUCCUCCCCGGGUUCCCCGCCGCUCGCGAUCGGGGGGGUCACGGCUCGGUGCGCGGCGCCCCGGCUGUGCGCUGCGGCAUCAGGGGCACCGGGGAAACGCCCGCGGAGCGGCGUCUGCUCUGCCCGUGUAAAUGAGUGCGAAAAGACGUGGAAGUGCUGGAGCCCGUCACAGAAGGGCGGCAAAACGGAAGGGUCUGGAGCACAAGUCUUAUGGCAGCGGCUGAGGGAGCUGUGAUCGUUCAGUGUGGAGAAGGGGAGGUUCAGGGCAGCCCUCGUUGCUCUCUGCAACUGCCCGAAGGCAGGUUGUGAUGGGCUGGGGACGGCCUCUUCUCCCAGGCGGAUCGUGCGUGGCUGGCAGCGCUGCAUUCCUGCCCGUCCUACACAACCCAUCAUCACAUGGAUGCAUUCAGCACAGAGUUGCUCAUGGCCCCAUCUUCUCUGCAGAGUGUUUUGUCUGCCCCCAUGCAGCCACCAUCCUGCCUCGCCUGCGGGUCACUGCGUGGAAAGCUCCAGAGAGUGUUGGCAAUGCUGUUGUUGACGUGGCUGCCAUGGGGGUGGGGAGACUCAGACACCCCUAAUAAAGCCUGAGGCAAGUGAGAGGCACUUCUUUUUGGCAAAUGAGCCGAUUUCAGUUUAAAAAUGCUUUUCUCUUGGCAGCCAGUGGAAGCAUCUGAGCUACGGCUGUCAGAUCAAAUGUGUGCUUUCCCUUUGACCUCCCAAGGAACAUAGGGAUGUGGUUUUAUGCCAUCUAGGAGCAAUCUGAUGUGUUUGCUUUUCAUUCUGAAGGUGUUUAGGAGUUUGACAUUUAGCCCUUGUGGGUUAUUUAUUUGUGCCUUUUACGCUGUAUCUUACGUUUCCUAGAAAACCACUUGCCCAGCCUGCAUGUCGUAUAUUUUUGAUGUGGAAAGAUGUGGGAUUGGGGUGAUAAAUGAGGAAAGAGAAUUGGCAACAAGACUGGAAAAUCACUGGCCAACUAGGAUAAAUUCCAGAGGCAAACAGAUGGUGGUGUGAACAGAGCAUUUUGUUUGACAUACUAAUGUGGUAUGAAUCUCAGCAGGGACUUUCCUCCUCCUCAGAAAGGUAACAGCAUUUCUGCACCUCAAAUAUUUUGAUAACAGUCAUAUGAAUGAAGUCAUAUGAACUUUUCUUUAAGCCUACCUGCAUUUUCUGAUUUUUGAACUGUUGAAUAGUUUCAGCCACACAAAACAAACAAAAUAGAGCAAAGCUAUCAGUAAAUGUAAUAUUGCAGGAACAAUUAACUGUGAUGCCAAUAUUUGAUCAACUCCCAGUGCCUGUGUUCAUAUUCAAGCAAGUGAAUAGUUUCUGAAUAGGGAAAUGCAGGUGGAGAGUGCAGGCAGUAUGUUCCUCAUACAGUACAGGCUGAACUGCAUCCAGUUUGACUCCCUGCACCCAGGACAACCCUCCAGUAUGUCUUGGAAAGCCUUGAGUUCUCACAUCCCACUGCCACCUCCUGUCAAAUGCCUCUCCUCACAUCAUAGUACAAAAUACACCACCGGUGUGCUGUUAAGCAAUCACCUCACUGUUAGUAAUUGAUUUUUUUUCCCUUGAGUCAUCACAGAACUAAGGGCGCACUUUAGGGACCUGUGGAGCUCAAGGCCUUGUGUCUCAUUUAAAGAGAUGUCAUAAGAGUCAUGGCUUUGCCACAUAGAUAGCUCUGAUAGUCUUUGGCAGGACAGCAAGAAUUGAGCAAUACUAUUUUUUUUUUAAUUAGAAAAAAAAAAAAAAAAAAAAGCCUCUGUGAAAGCCUGUUUUGGUGCUGCAGAAUGCAAGUAUCUCAGUUCUAUCAGAGUGAUGCAGGGCUGCAGGAUAGAUCCCUGUUUAAUGUCCAGACACACAGUGUGUAAGUAGUGAUGAUUUUGUCAGUGGCAGGGAACCCCAGCAGUGAGACUGCCCUCAUGUUGAGAAAAGCUUGCCUAAAGUGUUUGUUAGGUGUGGCAGCCCCUGGGCUUUGCCAAAGCUACUCAACUCUGGAGGCUUUCAUGCAGAUAACACAGGAGCAGGUCGGUGGGACUGGGAGGAGCAGUGAUUAUGUGGGGAUUGUACAGGGACCGGGAAAGGCGUUUGUCUUUGGUUCUCCGGUUGUUUCAGUGCCUCAGGCAGAGGCAGGAGAUGGCACAGAGCACACGGUGUGCAACUUGUCCUGACCGCCUGCAUGGCAGCAGGGUGUUGGCAUCUGGCUGCUCCCUGGACUCCUCCCUGCGGCUCGCUUUGGUCCUGCAACCCAGAUUGCAGAGCACACACCUCAUUCCUGAAGCUCAGCAUGGCGGUGUGUGCCUCAGCUCUGCGUCUCAUUGUUGGAGAUGUACACUUUGGUCUCAAGGCUCACUGCUGUCAAGAUUCAAGUUCCUCUGUCCCACAGCAUCCUUGGAGGCACGCUGCACCUCAGUCCCACCAAGACUUACUCUGCAGGAGCUGCAGCAGCAAGGAGGGGGCUGUGCGAGCCAUAGCAAAGUGCAGAGUGAUGCCCUGACACCAGGGAGGUUCUUUUGGAAGAAGAGAGCACUGGUUUGUCCCUAAUAGGUGAAACAUGCAUUACUGGUGGCAUCUUCUCUGCAGACUGAUCCUGAGUAGCCAGUUAUGGUAACCAAAAAAGGUUGUGAUUGCCAGCUUCCA